AUUUCUAGAUUUGGGUUUUUGCUCAUACAACUCCUAAUUGUAAAAUUAGAAGGGAAGUUCAGAGUUACUCCAAUUAAAACAAUGCGAAAAUUCUAGGGGUCAGUCAUAAGCCCUCCCAACCAGCAGUCAACCCUUCUUUACUACUCUACUAUAAUAACUAUAAUAACAAUUCGUAAACAAACGUUAGGUCAUCCA
rnacentral:ribozyme from 14 species